CUACACAGUAUGAGCAUGCUGGCUCUAAAAGGAGUCUCUCUGGGGAGAAAGCGGGGGCGGGCAGUGCCUCCAAAGAAAUGUCGCUCUGAUGGAAUUGACAUUUACAAUGAAGCUGGAAGGUGAGUUGUAUGUAUGGGACUGACACAGAUUCCAAACAGCAUUUCUAUCACAAAUAUUGAUAUUAAUUGUAGAGCUCAGAAGUGAUAUUAUAUCAUAAGGCAGAAGUAGCCUGGGUACUAAUCUGUUUGUGCCAUCAUGUCACUCCUUGGCAUACAAGGAGUGGCAAGGAAUGGUGUAAUGGCACAAACAGAUUGGAACCCAGGCUAAGGCAGAAGAUAUUAUUGACCGAAGAUCUGUCUCUGUUAUGUUGAAGCCAAAUCCAGCAGGAGAGACCAGUCUCACCUGUACCCAGCUGUCUGUCCAUGCAAACGGACAUGUCUAUUGAUCCUCCGUUCAACUUCAUGACAGAAAAUAUAUCUACUGAUCAAAAGCCUGUCUGUGUUCUCUUGUUCUGCUCAUUUGUUUCUAGUCAAUAUUUUGAAGCAAACAGUAAAUCACCAACGUCCUGUAGUUUUAUGCGUUACAUUGAAUGUGCUUCUUUACGGGGCCCAGCAGCAGAGACCAGUUCUGUCCACGAACAGUGACCAGUCAAUGGGACAUCAAGAACACUUCAGGGAUGGGAACACUGGGCAUGCGUCUAAGUUCUCUGCUGACAGGAUCCAAGAGGAGAGAGCCAAUUCUCCUGGACCAAGCUGGGUCCUUUAAGAGUGACUGGUCAAUGGUUCAUCCUAAAACACAAUUCGGGUAGGAAGGCAUUUCUACUGAUCAAAGAGACCUGCAAGAGAGAUCAGAGUCAGACGUUCCCCGUGGCCGGUCUACGGCCGGUCACACUGCACAUCCUGAGGAACAUGAACCAGAAAGAGCUCACUGACACACUGGAGAACAUGCGAACCAUGAUGCAGAACGCUGGAUAAAAUCUGGCCUAAGAAAAUAUGCCCGUGAGCCAACACUGGACGCAAACACGGCACACAGAAAACUGUCAGAGGGGAACAUGGGGGAGAGAAGAGCAGCCGUAUCCUGAUCACCCAGAGAGAUGUGAGGGCUGUUGGCAGGUGCUGUGUAAAGAGGGUCUGAAUAGGCGCAGUUAUUGGGAGUCGGAUCGAAGAGGAAAUGGGAGUGACAGAGAAAAAUCGGCAGGAGUGGAGAGUUUGGGGACUGUUGGCGUCGACGUAAUGACAAGUCCUGGAGUUUGCGAUGCUUUGACAACAGUUACAUCGCCUUCCAUAAUGCUAGGAGUAUUGCUUUACCUGCUCCCUCAUCUUAUUCGAACAGAGUAGGAGUGUAUCUGGACUGGCUGGCACUCUGUCCUUCUACAGUGUCUCCUCUGGUACACUGACCCAUCUGCAUACAUUCUACUCCACAUUUUCUAACCCUCUUUACCCAGGGUUUAGGGUUGGGAAUGAUGACAGUGUGCCUGUGUCAGGUAGAGCAGCAUCCAAUUUAAAACUCAGGCCAGAAUUCCAUCUAGUUGAUUUUGGCAUUGCGGUGUUAGAAGUACGUUCACGUUGCAGUGCAACGUGUUCGCUCCAGACUUGAUACUCGAUUUAGAAAUCAGUAGUCCCGUACUACCUGGUUUUAGUGGAAGCCCUGGUAGGAUGUUGAGUUACCCACCCUCCCUUCUAUUUUUAUCUUGAUAAUUCAUUGCAGUCAAGCAGAUUUUAAAUCUGUGACACACUGCUGUGCAAAUCAAACACAAUUUCGGUGACCUUAAAUAAAAUGGCAUUUAUUUAUUUUUCUACUCUGCUUCACCUACAGCAAACAUUUUUGGUUUUGUUGAAUUUCGGAGUUAAGCAUAUUGAGUUUAGAGAAUUUUUGUUUUAUCUGGAAUAAAAAUCUAAGAUGUGCCCAGAUCACAGCCUUAAAACACCACUUGUAAUUUAGGAAAUAUGUGUUGAACAUCAAUGUAGGCUAAUUGAGUUAUAAAUCACAUACUAUAGCCAGAUCUCCAGGCCAUUGAACUUCUGUUACCUGGUCUCAGAGCCACAAACCAUUUUAUGUAGUGAAAGUGUCUGGAUGAAAAAUGCUGUUGAGGAGAAUGUGACCGUUUUGGCUGAGAGACCACUGAAAAUAUUAUCCCGCUAGAUGGUGAUGCGAUAAAUACAUGCCAGUAACUACUACCGUCCCAAGAUGAGUGGCGGUUCUGACAUCAGCAGCACUAGCUAUUAUGCAUCCUCAUCGGAUAAAGAGUACUUCCCCUAAAUUUGGGUAGGAAAAAUGUACUUUACUUGCCUAUAUACUAUACAGAGCGACAACAACAAAAAAACAGUAUGGUAUUGCCCCAGAUAUUCUGUAUUUCACUCAAUAUUCCUACAGUAAAAUCAUAAUCAACUCAGUCUGCCUGUACUUUAAUAUAUUCUUUAUUUUCUUAAACAAAAUUGAAGUAAAAACCUUUAUGUAGAAAGACAAAUUCCCUGUCAGUAGCGUUCCACCUAAGGUUCUUGAUUUAGGGCCUCCAGUAGACUCCCGUCUAUUGGGUUGUUCUCUUCUACUGUGUGAGUCAACGUAAGAAUAUUACACCACAGAGUCAGUACCAUCUCUAACUCCCUACUAGCUCAUGAAUUAACUCACUAACUUGUGAAUUAACUCAUGCAGACUUUCGAGAAACACAGUGGGAAGAAUGUUAACAGCAAAUAGUGUUAAAAGAAAGUUAAAAACAGCAGUGUCCAUUACAAAGGCUGAAGAAAGAAAGCAAACAUGUGAGCAGGUGAGCUGUAUAGUACACAUCGUUGUCCAGUCACCUCUGGCAGUGUUUUCAACUAGUAUUGAAAUCGGGGAGAAAAAAAAGA